GACGAACUGUCCAAACGUUGUUCGGAAUCACUGGGCUUAAAGGGCGCGUAGGCGGUCGAUCAAGUCAGGGGUGAAAUCCUGCAGCUUAACUGUAGAAGUGCCUUUGAUACUGGUCGUCUCGAGGGAGGUAGGGGUGUGUGGAACUUCCAGUGGAGCGGUGAAAUGCGUUGAUAUUGGAAGGAACGCCGGAGGCGAAAGCGACGCACUGGACCUUUUCUAACGCUGAGGCGCGAAAGCUAGGGGAGCAAACGGG
rnacentral:rRNA from 1 species